rnacentral:rRNA from 1 species
GUCCACGCCGUAAACGAUGGGUACUAGGUGUGGGGGUGUCGACUCCCUCCGUGCCGAAGCUAACGCAUUAAGUACCCCGCCUGGGGAGUACGGCCGCAAGGCUAAAACUCAAAGGAAUUGACGGGGGCCCGCACAAGCAGCGGAGCAUGUGGUUUAAUUCGAAGCAACGCGAAGAACCUUACCUGGGCUUGACAUGUGCCUGACCGCCGUGGAAAACACGGCUUCCCUUCGGGGCAGGUUCACAGGUGGUGCAUGGCUGUCGU